GGGGACGAACUGGUAUCGACUGCCGUUUUGAGUGAAAGAAAAGCACGCGAAGUACCCUCUUCUAAAAAGGGAAUCGGUAAUAACUGCCGACAAUAAUGAAUUUGCUUUGGCUGCAUAAUUAGCCAAACACCGUGAAAAUUGAAUGCUUUCGUCAACUUUUAUGGUAUAACCUUAGAAAGCUGGGCAGUGUGACGCGAAUAAACAUUGUUGAGAAAAUAUUCGCUGGGAAAUUUUGACUUUGUUUGUAGAGAAUAAAUUUCUGAAAACAAAAUACAAACUAAGCAUGUAGAAAGCUUUUAUUUGUGCGGUAGGACGCGGGUUCAACUCCCGCCGUCUCCAUUA
rnacentral:tmRNA from 1 species